AGUUGUAGAUGUCAAGCUCACACGGUUGAGGAUGUCGCACUGACAGAUGAGUUGAUGGACAUGGUAUUUGCCCAUGAGCCACAGACACAGGAUGCAGCAGCGGUAUCUCAUACACCUCCCCCAAUUACCAUUGCUGCAACUUCGAUGCCUGAGGUGUUGACAGGGGACGAAAUGUCCCAGAUUGAUGACAUCACACUCUCAGCGAUCGAUUUUGGCCUACAAGGCUAUACGG